rnacentral:rRNA from 1 species
UGCGUAGUCGGCUUUUUAAGUCGGGUGUGAAAUCCCCGGGCUCAACCUGGGAAUUGCAUUCGAUACUGGAUAGCUAGAGUUCGGCAGAGGGAAGUGGAAUUUCUGGUGUAGCGGUGAAAUGCGUAGAUAUCAGAAGGAACAUCAGUGGCGAAAGCGACUUCCUGGACCAGAACUGACGAUCAGGCACGAAAGCGUGGGGAGCAAACAGGAUUAGAUACCCUGGUAGUCCACGCCAUAAACGAUGACAACUAGACGUUGGGAGGGUAAGCCUUCCAGUGUCGCAGCUAACGCGUUAAGUUGUCCGCCUGGGGAGUACGGCCGCAAGGUUGAA